GGGCCAAUCGUAUAGUGGCUUAUUAUGCUGUCUUAGGGCUUUACCUCCAUUCAGGUGGAUGCACUAAGUUGACAGAGGUCCCCGGUUCGAUUCCGGGUUGGCCCC